ensembl:miRNA
GAAUUGCUUGAACCCAAGAGGUGGAGGCUGCAGUGAGCCAAGAUCGUGCCACUGCACUCCAGCCUGGGUGACAAGAGCAAAACU